AUGAACGCUAGCGGCAGGCCUAACACAUGCAAGUCGAGGGGCAGCACGUAAAGUACUUCGGUACUUUUGGUGGCGACCGGCGCACGGGUGCGUAACGCGUAUGCAACCUACCUAUAACAGGGGGAUAAUUCGGAGAAAUCUGGUCUAAUACCCCAUAAUACUGAUUGCGGCAUCGUAAACAGUUGAAAACUCCGGUGGUUAUAGAUGGGCAUGCGUGACAUUAGAUAGUUGGUGAGGUAACGGCUCACCAAGUCGACGAUGUCUAGGGGGACUGAGAGGUUAACCCCCCACACUGGUACUGAGACACGGACCAGACUCCUACGGGAGGCAGCAGUGAGGAAUAUUGGUCAAUGGACGCAAGUCUGAACCAGCCAUGCCGCGUGCAGGAAGACGGCUCUAUGAGUUGUAAACUGCUUUUGUACGAGGGUAAACUCGUCUACGUGUAGGCGAUUGAAAGUAUCGUACGAAUAAGGAUCGGCUAACUCCGUGCCAGCAGCCGCGGUAAUACGGAGGAUCCAAGCGUUAUCCGGAUUUAUUGGGUUUAAAGGGUGCGUAGGCGGUUUGUUAAGUUAGAGGUGAAAUCCCGUGGCUCAACCACGGAACUGCCUCUGAUACUGGCAGGCUAGAGAACGGUUGCUGUGGGCGGAAUGUGUGGUGUAGCGUGAAAUGCUUAGAGAUCACACAGAACACCGAUUGCGAAGGCAGCUCACAAAGCCGUAUCUGACGCUGAGGCACGAAAGCGUGGGAGCAAACAGAUAGAUACCC
rnacentral:rRNA from 1 species